UUCGAAAGGAUAGGACGCAAAGCCACCGGCCCUAAGCAUUUUACAGGGUAGCGGGGUUGCCAAA
rnacentral:ncRNA from 1 species